UUAUUUGAAACGGGAUACAACCCCUAACACUGGGUUAACCACAGCACUUAAACAAAGUGGGCCUAAGAGCAGCCACCUUCCGAAAAGCGUUAAAGCUUAAAUAACAAAUCACUAAUUUCGCAACCAAAAUUUAACCCUUCAUCUAUACUGGAUUAUUUUAUACAUUUAUAAAAGUCAUUAUGUUAGAACUAGUAACAAGAAAUUGCUUUUCUCCAAAAUGCACGUUUGAACCAAAUAGGACCAACCAUUGGACUUUAACACAAAUUAUAAUCUAUAACACCACACAACCAGAGUACCUUAAAAAUUUUAGUGUCAAUCUAACACCAGAGCAUUACAGGAAAGAUUAAAAGAGAAAGAAGGAACUCGGCAAAUUUUAGUCCCGCCUGUUUACCAAAAACAUCGCCUCCUGGCCAAAUAUAGGAGGUCCAGCCUGCCCAGUGACAAAAUUCAACGGCCGCGGUACCCUAACCGUGCGAAGGUAGCAUAAUCACUUGUUCUUUAAAUGGGGACUAGUAUAAACGGCAUCACGAGGACUACACUGUCUCCUUUUUCCAAUCAGUGAAACUGAUCUCCCCGUGAAGAAGCUGGGAUAUUUAC
rnacentral:rRNA from 1 species